rnacentral:rRNA from 1 species
CCUACGUGAGGCAGCAGUGAGGAAUAUUGGUCACUGGACGAGAGUCUGAACCAGCCAAGUAGCGUGAAGGAUGACUGCCCUAUGGGUUGUAAACUUCUUUUAUAUGGGAGUAAAAUGUUCCACGUGUGGGAAUUUGUAUGUACCAUAUGAAUACGGAUCGGCUAACUCCGUGCCAGCGGCCGCGGUAAUAAGGAGGAUCCGAGCGUUAUCCGGCUUUAUUGGGUGUAAAGGGAGCGUAGGUGGGUUGGUAAGUCAGUUGUGAAAGUUUGCGGCGCAACCGUAAAAUUGCAGUUGAAACUGGCAGUCUUGAGUACAGUAGAGGUGGGCGGAAUUCGUGGUGUAGCGGUUAAAUGCUUAGAUAUCACGAAGAACUCCGAUUGCGAAGGCAGCUCACUGGACUGCAACUGACACUGAGGCUCGAAAGUGUGGGUAUCAAACAGGAUUAGAUACCCCUGUAGUC